rnacentral:rRNA from 1 species
GAUGAACGCUGGCGGCGUGCUUAACACAUGCCAGUCGAGCGGACAGGCCCUGCUUUUGCUGGGUGCUCGAGUGGCGAACGGGUGAGUAAAACGUGAGUAACCUGUCCCUGUAUUUGGGAUAAAUCCAGGAAACAGGGGCUAUUAUCGGAUAGGAGCUCCUGAUGCGUGGUGGGGGUUGGAAAGUUUCGGCGGUUGGGGCUAGUCGCGAGGCUUAUCCGCUUGUUGGGGGAGUAGUGGCUUACCAAGGCUUUGACGGGUAGCCCGCCUGGGAGGGUGACCGGCCACAAGGGGACUGAGAUACGGCCCAGACGGCUACGGGAGGCAGCAGUGGGGAAUAUUGCGCAGUAGGGUGGAGCCUGAUGCAGCAACGCCGGGAUCGUAAUGAUCGCCUUCGAGUGGUAAACCGCUUUCUCCUGUGACAAAGCCUUAGUGACGGUAACUGGUAAAAAAGCACCGGCUAACUACGUG